CUUCAUUAUGGCUGCACGACGUCUCGGGCUGAUAAUGUUGUGCUUAUAUGAUCCUUGGACAAGAUUUGUCCGGGACUGCCAUGUGCUAACAGAAAUCUUGCUGGCGUCAUACCUGGCAGUGUCGAUGCCCAAGAAAGUCAUUGUUUUGAAGCCAGUCUGCUGUGGGAGUUCACGUACGAAAUCCAGCAGGGGGGCAGUGUUGUCAAACUGGCUCAGGUUAACACGCCUGGCGAGGAUGCGGUCUUGGACUUGGGUGGUGACUUUCCAGAUGACUUUCCAGAGUUUCCUCUCUGGAAAAGUCCUCAUGUUCCGAGCCAGAUCGACGCAAGCGUAAUAAAAAUAACCAUUCACUGCUAAGAAUUGACCAAAAAAUGAGCAUGCUGCACAAACCUGUGAAAGUUUGGGUCCAAUCUGAAUGUUCUCAAUGAAUCGGACAAGGAAAUCGAUGAUGCUGCUCCAUGGGUAGAUGCUGUUAGAACCGUCUAAGACAAUCACAAUGUCCAGCUCCUUUGCACACUCUAAAAGAGAGGUCACGCAAUUUACAUUUAAAAAAUUGUAAUGAGCAGUUUUGGGAGGUAGGAAGGCAUACCUUGAACGCCAGGUGCCACAGAGUUAAGAACCUGGAAGGACGAACUGACGUUGGCGCACACCCCUGAAAUGUAUUGCUGCUGACCGCACAUGUAGCCGUACUGUGGACCACAUGCCUACAGAUAGACAGACACACGCAAAACACACACAAAGUUGUUGUACAAAGAUGAGGAAACAGUGAAUUGAACAAGCAUAUUGGUAAUUAUUGUAUUCAAAUAAAACAGCAGUCAU